UACAGAGGGUGCGAGCGUUAAUCGGAAUUACUGGGCGUAAAGCGUGCGUAGACGGUAGCGUAAGUCAGAUGUGAAAGCCCCGGGCUCAACCUGGGAAUUGCAUUUGAGACUGCUCUGCUCGGGUGCGGAAGAGGGAAGCGGAAUUUCCGGUGUAGCGGUGAAAUGCGUAGAUAUCGGAAGGAACACCUGUGGCGAAAGCGGCUCACUGGACCACAACUGACGCUGAGGCACGAAAGCUAGGGGAGCAAACAGG
rnacentral:rRNA from 1 species